UUUUGGAAUUAAAUAGUUUGAGGGUUAUGAAUAUGAAAACUUAAAGAUAAUGAGUUAAUGAUAUCAUUAAAAAUAGAAGUUCAAUAGGUAUAAGUUAUGAAGGAGAAAAAUUUAAAAUAAAUAAAAGAAGAAAAGUAUAAAAUAAUGAAGACAAAAUAAAAAAUAAAAAAAUCGACCUCUUCUUUUUUUGUAGUACUCUAUUGUGCUUAAUAAAUUUGAAUGAGGAAAAAAUGCAAAUAAAGAGACAAAUAUCAUGAA
rnacentral:lncRNA from 1 species